rnacentral:tRNA from 1 species
UUCCUUGUGGCUCAGUUGGUAAAGCAUCUGCCUGCAAUGCAGGAGACCCAGGUUCGAUCCCUAGAAUGGGAG